rnacentral:sRNA from 21 species
GUCAGCACCCCGUACUAAAGUAACGGGGCUUCGUGCCCCAAGCUUUAGUUAGCUGACCCGCCUAAGUUCUUAACUGAACUACGUUAUUGGCAAGAGUUAAAGUCCUACCUGUGGAUGCAUUGCCAGUCCAUAGCUCUAGA